GCGCCUGUAGCUCAAUUGGAUAGAGCAUCUGACUACGGAUCAGAAGGUUAUGGGUUCGACUCCUGUCAGGCGCGCCA
rnacentral:tRNA from 1 species